UACAGAGGUCUCGAGCGUUAGGCGGAAUCACUGGGCUUAAAGCGUGUGUAGGCGGAUUGCUAAGUACCUUGUGAAAUCCCACGGCUUAACCGUGGAACUGCUUGGUAUACUGGCUGUCUUGAGCCACUUAGGGGCAACCGGAACAAACGGUGGAGCGGUGAAAUGCGUAGAUAUCGUUUGGAACGCCAAUGGUGAAAACAGGUUGCUGGGAGUGAUGCUGACGCUGAGACACGAAAGCCAGGGGAGCAAACGGG
rnacentral:rRNA from 1 species